rfam:Hordeum vulgare subsp. vulgare, WGS project CAJW01000000 data, contig: morex_contig_70900
UUACUACCCCCUCCGUCCGAAAAUACUUAUCAUAGUAAUGGAUGUAUCUAAAUGUAUUUUAGUUCUAGAUACAUCCAUUUGUAAUCAUUUUUGUGACAAGUAAUUCUGGAUGGAGGGAGUAGAUA